ACACCUGGGGGAGACCAAGGAGGUCACAGAGAGCCACUCAGAGCCAGCCUCAUGAGUCUCCUCGUGUCUGUAGGCACGGAGUAGUGGGACAGCCUAUAUUCUCAGCGCCUGCCCCUGGGAAUUUCAUCCGAUGAUGACCUCAGCCAUCAUGCCCAACUGAGUUGUCUGAGCCGUCACGGAAGAUUCUGGAAACACAGUGCAAGGAAACAGCCUCUUCCCUAUCCUGCCUCUUCUUCCCUAUUCUCUCUUUCAUUUCCAUCAACCAGCACCACAAGGCAACACAGCCUUGACUUCCGUACAGUUGUCCUGAGUGAAGCUGCCAAUGCCUGGAGAUGAUGCACCUGAAACCCACUGAAAGAGACAACUGGGUUCACGGUCUCCUAACUCGAAAUGCUCGGCUCCAGCUGUGCCUGAAAACUCAGAAUGUUCCGGAUUUUAGAAAGGCAUUUUAGAGAUGCACAAACACUGUGUUAUCUUUAACACCUGUUUGAGCGUGAUGCUACUUCUACAGCAAAAUGUUUGUGUGUUCACAAUGGAUGCAAUGAAGCCCGUACC